rnacentral:tRNA from 1 species
CGCCGUGGCCAAGUGGUAAGGCAGAGGUCUGCAAAACCUUUAUCACCGGUUCGAAUCCGGUCGGCG